AUUGAACGCUGGCGGCAGGCCUAACACAUGCAAGUCGAGCGGGGUUUUCGGACCUAGCGGCGGACGGGUGAGUAAUGCGUAGGAAGCUGCCCGAUAGAGGGGGAUACCAGUUGGAAACGACUGUUAAUACCGCAUAAUGUCUACGGACCAAAGUGUGGGACCUUCGGGCCACAUGCUAUCGGAUGCGCCUACGUGGGAUUAGCUAGUUGGUGAGGUAAUGGCUCACCAAGGCGACGAUCUCUAGCUGGUUUGAGAGGAUGAUCAGCCACACUGGAACUGAGACACGGUCCAGACUCCUACGGGAGGCAGCAGUGGGGAAUAUUGGACAAUGGGCGCAAGCCUGAUCCAGCCAUGCCGCGUGUGUGAAGAAGGCCUUCGGGUUGUAAAGCACUUUCAGCGAGGAGGAAGGGUGGUGUGUUAAUAGCACAUCAUUUUGACGUUACUCGCAGAAGAAGCACCGGCUAACUCUGUGCCAGCCGCCGCUGUAAAAC
rnacentral:rRNA from 1 species